AUGGAACUAUCGCUAUUUCCUACUCAUUUCCUUAGAGGCAGAAAUCAUCCUGAAUGUUGACUUGUGAAUGUAGCUAUCUGUGUCUAACUGCAUUUCAGAGCGGCAGCGCUGGCAGAGAAAGGAAACUGUGUCCUGAUUUCAGAGGCAGUCUGUACAUGCAUACAGUUUGAUGGUUUUGGUGUGUAGGUUUUGAAUCUGUGUUUAUGCAAGUCUUCCUAGUUAAUACUGAAACAGCACAGGGAUCACUAGCCAAAACAUAGGAGCUGCCACCUAGGAUCAUACUGAAUAGUGGGCCCAUUUUCUACAUUACACCAAUUUUAGGUAGCUGUCUAUGCCCAACCUGUUUUCCUUGUAUAGAAUUUAGAGAUGGGCACUUUUUAGGAUCUGAUUUGCCAUUAUUUUCAAGGGUAAUAAGAUGCCUAAAUAAACUCCUGAGAUUCUGGAAAUUUGUCACCAACUCAUAGAAGCACUUUAGCUUCACUUAACACUUCACACAUUUAGGUUUACUUUGGUAUGCCUUGUUGUGUUUGUUACUCUUAUAUCUUAAGUUUAGCAGGUAAUUGAUUUACUUCUCUCCCUUUGGAUUAUUUAAGUUUCUUGUGAGCUGCCUUAUAGAAUAGAACAUAAAAUGCAUUAAAAAGGGACAUUGUGGGCAUUAAAAAACAACAAAAAAUUAAAAUCAGGAAGUUGAGAGGGUCAAAUGAGUCAGUAGAAAAACUACAGCCACUCCUACCUCUAACCAUUUUAACUGUGUAUUGUUCCUACAGAUUUGAACUCUCUAAAACAGACAGCUCAUCUGAAUUUUUAAUACAGUCUUGGUUGCCAGGAAUUGUUACUUAUCUGCAAAAUUUUGCUGGACUUGAAUGUACUGAAUGUCUGAACUGAAUGACUGCUGAAAACACAUUGCUUGAAGCAAGCUGAUAAUACAUGUCUCCAGGGUGGAAAUGACAGCAGACAUAUUGGGCUGAGGAGGAAGAAAAUAAGAGCUAUUGGUUUUGAGUUUAGAUUCUGGAAGUUAAAGACCCACUCACUGAGAUAGCUUUUAAUUUGGAUCUAUAGUCAAUUCGUGUAAACGUUCAGCUCCAGAUCUUGCAAUAUAACUUGAAUGCCUGGACACUCUAAGAAGCUUUUUCCCACCACUUUGUGAAAACAAAAUGUCGAUUGACAUGAUAUAUCACUGAACACAGUUCCAAUGAUGGCUAUGACUUAGAUCAUGUUGUGUUCAGUGGCAUGCUUACACUCUCAAAACACAGCCUCUGUAACUAAUAGGUGACAGAUGGGACUACUCAGAAAGUUUUUCCCCUAGGCUUUCCUAUAUACGUGGCUUUUCUUCCCCAGGGAUCAGAGAGGUAUUUAGCGUUAAAGCACUGCUGAAAUUCUCAGAAGUGAUUUUUACUAGGUAACGAUUUCAGUGACAUUGCUUUUCUUCAAGACUUGUGGCAUUGUCCUACAGCAUGCAUUACUCAAUGUUUGUUCAUACUAUUGUGGUAGGUUAAUUGCCAUGGUGAUUGUUCAUUUUAGUGUAGGUUGCAUACAUUUUUCAAGAAUCAACAAGGUUUGCCUUUUGUAUUUGUAUUAUUUCACUAUCUACAUAGUCUUGCAAAAUUCUAUUACAUAAACUCCCUUUUUUCUUUUCUGUCAACAACAUGGAUCAUCUGUAGAAUCACUAGUAAAUUCUCACCAACCUUCAGUUCAAUGUCAACCACAGCUCAGGUCCGCCAGACAUUUCUGAGUAAUGAAAAGCACAUAAAAUGUUGAUCUAUGCCUGUUUGAUAUGCAUACAUAUAUACAGAUGUCUAUAUAUACAUAUGUAUUUGCUCUCUCUGAACUAAUUGUUCAUGUCGUACUUCAUUCUUAAAGAAACAAAUGACUUCUGAGAGAUGUA